GCCAGCAAUGGCACAUGGUCAAAUUACAAACAUACAGAGAAAAUCAGCAUUGCCCCUGCACAAGGAUGACAAUUCGAUUCAAAAGAGAAGCAUGACUUUUUU
rnacentral:snRNA from 1 species